rnacentral:rRNA from 1 species
GACGAGGGAUCCUAGCGUUGUUCGGAAUCAUUGGGCGUAAAGAGUAUGUAGGCGGCCUUGUAAGUCAGUUGUGAAAGCCCCGGGCUCAACCCGGGAAGUGCAAUUGAUACUGCUUGGCUUGAAUGUGGAAGAGGGUAGUAGAAUUCCGGGUGUAGUGGUGAAAUACGUAGAUAUCUGGAGGAAUACCGGUGGCGAAGGCGGCUACCUGGUCCUACAUUGACGCUGAGAUACGAAAGCAUGGGGAGCAAACAGG